AGAGUUUGAUCCUGGCUCAGGACGAACGCUGGCGGCGUGCUUAACACAUGCAAGUCGAACGAUGAAAGCAGGAGCUUGCUUUUGCUGGAUUAGUGGCGAACGGGUGAGUAACACGUGAGUAACCUGCCCUUGACUCUGGGAUAAGCGUUGGAAACGACGUCUAAUACCGGAUACGAGCUAGGACCGCAUGGUCAUUAGCUGGAAAGAAUUUCGGUCAAGGAUGGACUCGCGGCCUAUCAGCUAGUUGGUGAGGUAACGGCUCACCAAGGCGACGACGGGUAGCCGGCCUGAGAGGGUGACCGGCCACACUGGGACUGAGACACGGCCCAGACUCCUACGGGAGGCAGCAGUGGGGAAUAUUGCACAAUGGGCGCAAGCCUGAUGCAGCAACGCCGCGUGAGGGACGACGGCCUUCGGGUUGUAAACCUCUUUUAGCAGGGAAGAAGCGCAAGUGACGGUACCUGCAGAAAAAGCACCGGCUAACUACGUGCCAGCAGCCGCGGUAAUACGUAGGGUGCAAGCGUUGUCCGGAAUUAUUGGGCGUAAAGAGCUCGUAGGCGAUUUGUCGCGUCUGCUGUGAAAAUCCGAGGCUCAACCUCGGACCUGCAGUGGGUACGGGCAAACUAGAGUGCGGUAGGGGAGAUUGGAAUUCCUGGUGUAGCGGUGGAAUGCGCAGAUAUCAGGAGGAACACCAAUGGCGAAGGCAGAUCUCUGGGCCGUAACUGACGCUGAGGAGCGAAAGCGUGGGGAGCGAACAGGAUUAGAUACCCUGGUAGUCCACGCCGUAAACGGUGGGAACUAGAUGUGGGGUCCGUUCCACGGAUUCCCGUGUCGCAGCUAACGCAUUAAGUUCCCCGCCUGGGGAGUACGGCCGCAAGGCUAAAACUCAAAGGAAUUGACGG
rnacentral:rRNA from 1 species